rnacentral:tRNA from 1 species
UCCCUGGUGGUCCAGUGGCUCAGACUCCAUGUUCCCAACUCAGGAGGCCCAGGUUUGAUUCCUGGUCAGGGAA